rnacentral:rRNA from 1 species
GCUAACUAACGGUGCAGCAGCCGCGGUAAUACGGAGGGUGCGAGCGUUAAUCGGAAUUACUGGGCGUAAAGCGCAUGCAGGUGGUUUGUUAAGUCAGAUGUGAAAGCCCGGGGCUCAACCUCGGAGUUGCAUUUGAAACUGGCAGGCUAGAGUACUGUAGAGGGGGGUAGAAUUUCAGGUGUAGCGGUGAAAUGCGUAGAGAUCUGAAGGAAUACCGGUGGCGAAGGCGGCCCCCUGGACAGAUACUGACACUCAGAUGCGAAAGCGUGGGGAGCAAACAGGAUUAGAUACCCUGGUAGUCCACGCUGUAAACGAUGUCUACUUGGAGGUUGUGGCCUUGAGCCGUGGCUUUCGGAGCUAACGCGUUAAGUAGACCGCCUGGGGAGUACGGUCGCAAGAUUAAAACUCAAAUGAAUUGACGGGGGCCCGCACAAGCGGUGGAGCAUGUGGUUUAAUUCGAUGCAACGCGAAGAACCUUACCUACUCUUGACAUCUACAGGAUCCUGCGGAGACGCGGGAGUGCCUUCGGGAACUGUAAGACAGGUGCUGCAUGGCUGUCGUCAGCUCGUGUUGUGAAAUGUUGGGUUAAGUCCCGCAACGAGCGCAACCCUUAUCCUUGUUUGCCAGCGAGUAAUGUCGGGAACUCCAGGGAGACUGCCGGUGAUAAACCGGAGGAAGG